AAAUAUAUCUUUACCCGCCUUUUUGAUUUUGACAAAAUGGGAGAAGUAUACUCUUAAAGAGAGUAGGGUAUACUCUAUAUUUAACUUAGGGAGAGUAUAAUUACUCCAAACAUAUAUAUGUUAUUUUCUUUUACCACCUCCCUGAGAGAUGUGUUGUCAUCAUCAAAAAAAUGGAUUAUGUGGAACCUUUUUUUGCACAUGAUAUGCUUUUAACAAGGACAUCAAAUUUUGAUGAUGACAACUAAUGUCUUCUGACAAGUCAAACA
rnacentral:lncRNA from 1 species